rnacentral:misc_RNA from 1 species
UGCUCUUCCUUCAUCUGUCUCC